rnacentral:rRNA from 1 species
GACGAACUGCCCAAACGUUGUUCGGAAUCACUGGGCUUAAAGGGCGCGUAGGCGGCGAAUCAAGUCAGGGGUGAAAUCCGGCAGCUUAACUGUCGAAGUGCCUUUGAUACUGGUUUGCUCGAGGGAGAUAGGGGUCUGUGGAACUUCUGGUGGAGCGGUGAAAUGCGCAGAUAUCGGGAAGAACACCUAUGGCGAAGGCAGCUCUCUGGGACGGUACUGACGCUGAGACGCGAAAGCGUGGGGAGCGAACAGG